GACGAACGCUGGCGGCGUGCUUAACACAUGCAAGUCGAACGGAAAGGCCCUGCUUUUGUGGGGUGCUCGAGUGGCGAACGGGUGAGUAACACGUGAGUAACCUGCCCUUGACUUUGCGAUAACUUCAGGAAACUGGGGCUAAUACCGGAUAGGAGCUCCUGCUGCAUGGUGGGGGUUGGAAAGUUUCGGCGGUUGGGGAUGGACUCGCGGCUUAUCAGCUUGUUGGUGGGGUAGUGGCUUACCAAGGCUUUGACGGGUAGCUGGCCUGAGAGGGUGACCGGCCACAUUGGGACUGAGAUACGGCCCAGACUCCUACGGGAGGCAGCAGUGGGGAAUAUUGCACAAUGGGCGGAAGCCUGAUGCAGCAACGCCGCGUGCGGGAUGACGGCCUUCGGGUUGUAAACCGCUUUCGCCUGUGACGAAGCGUGAGUGACGGUAAUGGGUAAAGAAGCACCGGCUAACUACGUG
rnacentral:rRNA from 1 species